rnacentral:rRNA from 1 species
AUUGAACGCUGGCGGCAGGCUUAACACAUGCAAGUCGAGCGGAGAGAGGUAGCUUGCUACUGAUCUUAGCGGCGGACGGGUGAGUAAUGCUUAGGAAUCUGCCUAUUAGUGGGGGACAACAUUUCGAAAGGAAUGCUAAUACCGCAUACGUCCUACGGGAGAAAGCAGGGGAUCUUCGGACCUUGCGCUAGUAGAUGAGCCUAAGUCGGAUUAGCUAGUUGGUGGGGUAAAGGCCUACCAAGGCGACGAUCUGUAGCGGGUCUGAGAGGAUGAUCCGCCACACUGGGACGGAGACACGGCCCAGACUCCUACGGGAGGCAGCAGUGGGGAAUAUUGGACAAUGGGCGGAAGCCUGAUCCAGCCAUGCCGCGUGUGUGAAGAAGGCCUUAUGGUUGUAAAGCACUUUGAUGGGGGAAGAAGGCUUUCCGGUUAAUACCCGGGAGGAUUGACACUACCCCAAGAACAAGCACCGGCUAACUCUGUGCCAGCCGCCGCGGUAACAC